rnacentral:rRNA from 1 species
GAGUUUGAUCCUGGCUCAGGACGAACGCUGGCGGCGUGCCUAAUACAUGCAAGUAGAACGCUGAAGGAGGAGCUUGCUCUUCUGGAUGAGUUGCGAACGGGUGAGCAACGCGUAGGUAACCUGCCUGGUGGCGGGGGAUAACUAUUGGAAACGAUAGCUAAUACCGCAUAACAUUGACUAUUGCAUGAUAGUCAAUUGAGAGGUGCAAAUGCACCACUACCAGAUGGACCUGCGUUGUAUUAGCUAGUUGGUGGGGUAACGGCUCACCAAGGCGACGAUACAUAGCCGACCUGAGAGGGUGAUCGGCUACACUGGGACUGAGACACGGCCCAGACUCCUACGGGAGGCAGCAGUAGGGAAUCUUCGGCAAUGGACGGAAGUCUGACCGAGCAACGCCGCGUGAGUGAAGAAGGUUUUCGGAUCGUAAAGCUCUGUUGUAAGAGAAGAACGAGUGUGAGAGUGGAAAAUUCACGCUGUGACGGUAUCUUACCAGAAAGGGACGGCUAACUACGUGCCAGCAGCCGCGGUAAUACGUAGGUCCCGAGCGUUGUCCGGAUUUAUUGGGCGUAAAGCGAGCGCAGGCGGUUAGAUAAGUCUGAAGUUAAAGGCUGUGGCUUAACCAUAGUACGCUUUGGAAACUGUUUAACUUGAGUGCAGAAGGGGAGAGUGGAAUUCCAUGUGUAGCGGUGAAAUGCGUAGAUAUAUGGAGGAACACCGGUGGCGAAAGCGGCUCUCUGGUCUGUAACUGACGCUGAGGCUCGAAAGCG